rnacentral:rRNA from 1 species
UGGGGAAUCUUCCGCAAUGGACGAAAGUCUGACGGAGCAACGCCGCGUGAACGAAGAAGGUCUUCGGAUUGUAAAGUUCUGUGAUUCGGGACGAAAGGGUUUGUGGUGAAUAAUCAUAGACAUUGACGGUACCGAAAAAGCAAGCCACGGCUAACUACGUGCCAGCAGCCGCGGUAAUACGUAGGUGGCAAGCGUUGUCCGGAAUUAUUGGGCGUAAAGCGCGCGCAGGCGGUUUCUUAAGUCCAUCUUAAAAGCGUGGGGCUCAACCCCAUGAGGGGAUGGAAACUGGGAAGCUGGAGUAUCGGAGAGGAAAGUGGAAUUCCUAGUGUAGCGGUGAAAUGCGUAGAGAUUAGGAAGAACACCGGUGGCGAAGGCGACUUUCUAGACGAAAACUGACGCUGAGGCGCGAAAGCGUGGGGAGCAAACAGGAUUAGAUACCCUGGUAGUCCACGCCGUAAACGAUGGAUACUAGGUGUAGGAGGUAUCGACCCCUCCUGUGCCGGAGUUAACGCAAUAAGUAUCCCGCCUGGGAAGUACGAUCGCAAGAUUA